rnacentral:rRNA from 1 species
ACCAACAGGAUUACUUAGUAACGGCGAGUGAAGCGGUAAAGCUCAAAUUUGAAAUCUGGUACUUUCAGUGCCCGAGUUGUAACUUGUAGAAUUUGUCUUUGAUUAGGUCCUUGUCUAUGUUCCUUGGAACAGGACGUCAUAGAGGGUGAGAAUCCCGUUUGGCGAGGAUACCUUUUCUCUGUAAGACUUUUUCGAAGAGUCGAGUUGUUUGGGAAUGCAGCUCAAAGUGGGUGGUAAAUUCCAUCUAAAGCUAAAUAUUGGCGAGAGACCGAUAGCGAACAAGUACAGUGAUGGAAAGAUGAAAAGAACUUUGAAAAGAGAGUGAAAAAGUACGUGAAAUUGUUGAAAGGGAGGGGCAUUUGAUCAGACAUGGUGUUUUUGCAUGCACUCGCCUCUCGUGGGCUUGGGCCUCUCAAAAAUUUCACUGGGCCAACAUCAAUUUUGGCGGCAGGAAAAAUCUUUUGGAAUGUAGCUACCUCGGUAGUGUUAUAGCCUUUUGAAAUACUGUCAGCUGGGAUUGA